rnacentral:rRNA from 1 species
GGUUAAGCGACUAAGCGUACACGGUGGAUGCCCUGGCAGUCAGAGGCGAUGAAGGACGUGCUAAUCUGCGAUAAGCGUCGGUAAGGUGAUAUGAACCGUUAUAACCGGCGAUUUCCGAAUGGGGAAACCCAGUGUGUUUCGACACACUAUCAUUAACUGAAUCCAUAGGUUAAUGAGGCGAACCGGGGGAACUGAAACAUCUAAGUACCCCGAGGAAAAGAAAUCAACCGAGAUUCCCCCAGUAGCGGCGAGCGAACGGGGAGCAGCCCAGAGCCUGAAUCAGUGUGUGUGUUAGUGGAAGCGUCUGGAAAGGCGCGCGAUACAGGGUGACAGCCCCGUACACAAAAAUGCACAUAUUGUGAGCUCGAUGAGUAGGGCGGGACACGUGGUAUCCUGUCUGAAUAUGGGGGGACCAUCCUCCAAGGCUAAAUACUCCUGACUGACCGAUAGUGAACCAGUACCGUGAGGGAAAGGCGAAAAGAACCCCGGCGAGGGGAGUGAAAAAGAACCUGAAACCGUGUACGUACAAGCAGUGGGAGCCUCUUUUAUGGGGUGACUGCGUACCUUUUGUAUAAUGGGUCAGCGACUUAUAUUCUGUAGCAAGGUUAACCGAAUAGGGGAGCCGAAGGGAAACCGAGUCUUAACUGGGCGUUAAGUUGCAGGGUAUAGACCCGAAACCCGGUGAUCUAGCCAUGGGCAGGUUGAAGGUUGGGUAACACUAACUGGAGGACCGAACCGACUAAUGUUGAAAAAUUAGCGGAUGACUUGUGGCUGGGGGUGAAAGGCCAAUCAAACCGGGAGAUAGCUGGUUCUCCCCGAAAGCUAUUUAGGUAGCGCCUCGUGAACUCAUCUCCGGGGGUAGAGCACUGUUUCGGCAAGGGGGUCAUCCCGACUUACCAACCCGAUGCAAACUGCGAAUACCGGAGAAUGUUAUCACGGGAGACACACGGCGGGUGCUAACGUCCGUCGUGAAGAGGGAAACAACCCAGACCGCCAGCUAAGGUCCCAAAGUCAUGGUUAAGUGGGAAACGAUGUGGGAAGGCCCAGACAGCCAGGAUGUUGGCUUAGAAGCAGCCAUCAUUUAAAGAAAGCGUAAUAGCUCACUGGUCGAGUCGGCCUGCGCGGAAGAUGUAACGGGGCUAAACCAUGCACCGAAGCUGCGGCAGCGACGCUUAUGCGUUGUUGGGUAGGGGAGCGUUCUGUAAGCCUGUGAAGGUGUACUGUGAGGUAUGCUGGAGGUAUCAGAAGUGCGAAUGCUGACAUAAGUAACGAUAAAGCGGGUGAAAAGCCCGCUCGCCGGAAGACCAAGGGUUCCUGUCCAACGUUAAUCGGGGCAGGGUGAGUCGACCCCUAAGGCGAGGCCGAAAGGCGUAGUCGAUGGGAAACAGGUUAAUAUUCCUGUACUUGGUGUUACUGCGAAGGGGGGACGGAGAAGGCUAUGUUGGCCGGGCGACGGUUGUCCCGGUUUAAGCGUGUAGGCUGGUUUUCCAGGCAAAUCCGGAAAAUCAAGGCUGAGGCGUGAUGACGAGGCACUACGGUGCUGAAGCAACAAAUGCCCUGCUUCCAGGAAAAGCCUCUAAGCAUCAGGUAACAUCAAAUCGUACCCCAAACCGACACAGGUGGUCAGGUAGAGAAUACCAAGGCGCUUGAGAGAACUCGGGUGAAGGAACUAGGCAAAAUGGUGCCGUAACUUCGGGAGAAGGCACGCUGAUAUGUAGGUGAAGCGACUUGCUCGUGGAGCUGAAAUCAGUCGAAGAUACCAGCUGGCUGCAACUGUUUAUUAAAAACACAGCACUGUGCAAACACGAAAGUGGACGUAUACGGUGUGACGCCUGCCCGGUGCCGGAAGGUUAAUUGAUGGGGUUAGCGCAAGCGAAGCUCUUGAUCGAAGCCCCGGUAAACGGCGGCCGUAACUAUAACGGUCCUAAGGUAGCGAAAUUCCUUGUCGGGUAAGUUCCGACCUGCACGAAUGGCGUAAUGAUGGCCAGGCUGUCUCCACCCGAGACUCAGUGAAAUUGAACUCGCUGUGAAGAUGCAGUGUACCCGCGGCAAGACGGAAAGACCCCGUGAACCUUUACUAUAGCUUGACACUGAACAUUGAGCCUUGAUGUGUAGGAUAGGUGGGAGGCUUUGAAGUGUGGACGCCAGUCUGCAUGGAGCCGACCUUGAAAUACCACCCUUUAAUGUUUGAUGUUCUAACGUUGACCCGUAAUCCGGGUUGCGGACAGUGUCUGGUGGGUAGUUUGACUGGGGCGGUCUCCUCCUAAAGAGUAACGGAGGAGCACGAAGGUUGGCUAAUCCUGGUCGGACAUCAGGAGGUUAGUGCAAUGGCAUAAGCCAGCUUGACUGCGAGCGUGACGGCGCGAGCAGGUGCGAAAGCAGGUCAUAGUGAUCCGGUGGUUCUGAAUGGAAGGGCCAUCGCUCAACGGAUAAAAGGUACUCCGGGGAUAACAGGCUGAUACCGCCCAAGAGUUCAUAUCGACGGCGGUGUUUGGCACCUCGAUGUCGGCUCAUCACAUCCUGGGGCUGAAGUAGGUCCCAAGGGUAUGGCUGUUCGCCAUUUAAAGUGGUACGCGAGCUGGGUUUAGAACGUCGUGAGACAGUUCGGUCCCUAUCUGCCGUGGGCGCUGGAGAACUGAGGGGGGCUGCUCCUAGUACGAGAGGACCGGAGUGGACGCAUCACUGGUGUUCGGGUUGUCAUGCCAAUGGCACUGCCCGGUAGCUAAAUGCGGAAGAGAUAAGUGCUGAAAGCAUCUAAGCACGAAACUUGCCCCGAGAUGAGUUCUCCCUGACUCCUUGAGAGUCCUGAAGGAACGUUGAAGACGACGACGUUGAUAGGCCGGGUGUGUAAGCGCAGCGAUGCGUUGAGCUAACCGGUACUAAUGAACCGUGAGGCUUAACCUU